CUGCUCUUAACCAUUCUGCAUUUCAGAUUACUCUUCAGAAUGUGAAGGGAGAGAAUUAAAAGACAAAAAAGAGACAAAAAAAGAGAGACAACUAAAUUAGCUGUUUCACAAAGAUUACUAAAAUGUUGUAAUUGCAUAUAAUUAUCUGUAACUAGAUAGAAAAAUAUGUGCCAUUGGAGAUGUAACAAGAAGUUACUUCAGACAGCUGUUUUUUUCUGACAGAACAGGCUGUGCUCAAUUAUGUAAAACCAGAAUAAUACAAAAGCAUAUUUUUAUAUUUUAAGGCUAUAAAUUAGUUCUCAUAAUUUACUGAGAUAUUCUCUACAUGGCUACACAGUACUGAUCCUUGUGGGAGAAAGUAUUUUGAAGAAACUUACAAGAGCUAGAUUUAUUUUUCUUAAUUCCAUGCUAAUUCUCUCCAAUCACAUUUCAAGUAGGUGGUGCACAGGACCACUGCCAUUUGCUUUGGUGGUCUGGUGAAGAUCCAGGUGGGGAGCCAUGGCUGAGGAAGAAGGCAAAGCAUCUGUGCUGAGAAAACAGCUUUGCAGGCUAUUAGCAAUUUCUGCAGAUGUUCCAAGGAAAAGAAACUGCAAGCAAAACUACUUGUCCCAGGUAGAUAGAUCCACCACCUCCAGCAUGCAUGGUCCAGGAUCAGGAGAGGAUCUGCUCAGCAAGUACAUGACACACUACCACCAAGGAACAUGGAACUGGGUGGGAAGCAGAAGGCUUGAGUCUGUACUAAAUGAAUGA
ensembl:lncRNA